GACGAACGCUGGCGGCGUGCUUAACACAUGCAAGUCGAACGGUGACCCUCGGAGCUUGCUUCGGGGUGAACAGUGGCGAACGGGUGAGUAACACGUGAGUAACCUGCCCCUGACUCUGGAAUAAGCGCUGGAAACGGCGUCUAAUACCGGAUACGACACGAACGGGCAUCCGUAUCGUGUGGAAAGUUUUUCGGUCUGGGAUGGACUCGCGGCCUAUCAGCUUGUUGGUGAGGUAAUGGCUCACCAAGGCGAUGACGGGUAGCCGGCCUGAGAGGGCGACCGGCCACACUGGGACUGAGACACGGCCCAGACUCCUACGGGAGGCAGCAGUGGGGAAUAUUGCACAAUGGGCGAAAGCCUGAUGCAGCGACGCCGCGUGAGGGAUGACGGCCUUCGGGUUGUAAACCUCUUUCAGCAGGGAAGAAGCGAAAGUGACGGUACCUGCAGAAGAAGCACCGGCUAACUACGUGCCAGCCGCCGCCGUAACAC
rnacentral:rRNA from 1 species